rnacentral:rRNA from 1 species
UCUCCUGGAAAACGGGUGGUAAUGCCGGAUGCUCCGACUCCUCGCAUGGGGUGUCGGGAAAGAUUUCAUCGGUAUGGGAUGGGGUCGCGUCCUAUCAGGUAGUCGGCGGGGUAACGGCCCACCGAGCCUACGACGGGUAGCCGGCCUGAGAGGGCGACCGGCCACAUUGGGACUGAGAUACGGCCCAGACUCCUACGGGAGGCAGCAGUGGGGAAUAUUGCACAAUGGGCGCAAGCCUGAUGCAGCGACGCCGCGUGCGGGAUGACGGCCUUCGGGUUGUAAACCGCUUUUGAUCGGGAGCAAGCCUUCGGGUGAGUGUACCUUUCGAAUAAGCACCGGCUAACUACGUGCCAGCAGCCGCGGUAAUACGUAGGGUGCAAGCGUUAUCCGGAAUUAUUGGGCGUAAAGGGCUCGUAGGCGGUUCGUCGCGUCCGGUGUGAAAGUCCAUCGCUUAACGGUGGAUCUGCGCCGGGUACGGGCGGGCUGGAGUGCGGUAGGGGAGACUGGAAUUCCCGGUGUAACGGUGGAAUGUGUAGAUAUCGGAAAAGAAAAACCAUA